UAUAAACGAUAACGUAAGAGUGGG
rnacentral:piRNA from 1 species